rnacentral:rRNA from 1 species
AAUGGGCGCAAGCCUGAUCCAGCCAUGCCGCGUGAGUGAUGAAGGCCUUCGGGUUGUAAACUGCUUUUGUACGGAGCGAAAAGGCUCUCUCUAAUACAGGGGGCUCAUGACGGUACCGUAAGAAUAAGCACCGGCUAACUACGUGCCAGCAGCCGCGGUAAUACGUAGGGUGCGAGCGUUAAUCGGAAUUACUGGGCGUAAAGCGUGCGCAGGCGGUUUUGUAAGACAGAUGUGAAAUCCCCGGGCUCAACCUGGGAACUGCAUUUGUGACUGCAAGGCUGGAGUACGGCAGAGGGGGAUGGAAUUCCGCGUGUAGCAGUGAAAUGCGUAGAUAUGCGGAGGAACACCGAUGGCGAAGGCAAUCCCCUGGGCCUGUACUGACGCUCAUGCACGAAAGCGUGGGGAGCAAACAGGAUUAGAUACCCUGGUAGUCCACGCCCUAAACGAUGUCAACUGGUUGUUGGGUCUUCACUGACUCAUUAACGAAGCUAACGCGUGAAGUUGACCGCCUGGGGGAGUACAGCCGCACGGUUG